UCCCUGGUGGUCUAGUGGCUAGGAGUCUGCAUUUCCACUGCUGGGGGCAUGGGUUCAAUCCCUGGUCAGGGAA
rfam:TPA: Bos taurus chromosome 26, whole genome shotgun sequence.